CAAAUAACACACUGAGAUUGUGCAGCGGUGAAAGGCCUCAUGGUCCAAGAACAUUGUAAUGACAACUGCAGUCUGAUGUGCCACAUAGCCUAUUGUAUUCUCUUUGGUACUAAGAUAAAAAACAGAACACAUCAUUGCCUACAGAUCUUUUCUAAAAGAGAGAUGAACAUUUGAGUGCAAGAACCUCAGGUUCAGGAACACAGUUUCAUUUUUGCACACCAACAAAUUAUUAGAAUUAAAUGGAAAAAUCCAUGUGAUCUGCAAGUGCUUACCAAUUAUCUAGCUUGAUACCCAAACAGUGACUUGUAUGGACAACCUCUAUGGGCACUUUAACAGAGUUCACUGUACCAGUAGUCUAUAGUCAGUUGCCUCAUCCUCACUGCAUCAUCCCGCACCAAACCAGCAGGAGCAGCAGCUGAAGAGCAGUUAUUCCCCUCCACACAGCACCUGAGAGAUGGCAUCUGAAGCAUCGUGGUCUUCCUGGUGCAAGACAGACAUUGUGCUGGAACAGGCCACCACAGUGGAGAGGUGCUGGGGCACACCCAACACCCAGAGCUGGGCCUGCUCAGUCUAGAGAAGAGAAAGCAGAGCAGACAUCUUGCCUACCACUGCCUAUGGCCACUUGCUGAGGGUUACACAGGAGCAAGGUGAACCAGGUGGCAAGAACCUCCCUGCCUCCAGUACAGCCUUUCAGAGGUCUUUUAGUGCUUCACCAUCUGCCAGAUGAAGAUGAUGAGUGCUACUGUGCUCUCACAGAAGAGAUUUCUUCAGCAAAACUCCUAGCUCAGAGGCUGCACCUGAAACAUGGAGUUAGACAUCAGGUAAGCUGCGAAGCACUGACUGUUGGGUCAAAGCGUCUUCUGUGCUUAUUGGACACACUGGGGGCAUUUCCAAAGCAGGCAAGACAGGCAAGUGUUGGAUUACUUGAUACAUGCAUGGCCUGUGGUCUAUGGAAAUGCUUUAAAAAUACGGAGAUUAUAUUGUGUGUCUGUGUGUGUAUGUAUAAAAAUAUGUAAUAUCUUAUAAAAUACUAAUAAUUAUACAUUAUAGUAAAUCUUUUUCUUUUUUAAUUGUUUUUAUUGGUUACUUUUCAUUUUUAUUUUAUUUUUUGUUAUUUUUUAUUUCUUUUUUGUUUUUAUUGUUAUUUAUUAUUCUUUUUU
rnacentral:lncRNA from 1 species